GACGAACGCUGGCGGCGUGCUUAACACAUGCAAGUCGAACGGAAAGGCCCUGCUUUUGUGCGGUGCUCGAGUGGCGAACGGGUGGGUAACACGUGAGUAACCUGCCCUUGACUUUGGGAUAACUUCAGGAAACUGGGGCUAAUACCGGAUAGGAGCUCCUGCUGCAUGGUGGGGGUUGGAAAGUUUCGGCGGUUGGGGAUGGACUCGCGGCUUAUCAGCUUGUUGGUGGGGUAGUGGCUUACCAAGGCUUUGACGGGUAGCCGGCCUGAGAGGGUGACCGGCCACAUUGGGACUGAGAUACGGCCCAGACUCCUACGGGAGGCAGCAGUGGGGAAUAUUGCACAAUGGGCGGAAGCCUGAUGCAGCAACGCCGCGUGCGGGAUGACGGCCUUCGGGUUGUAAACCGCUUUCGCCUGUGACGAAGCGUGAGUGACGGUAAUGGGUAAAGAAGCACCGGCUAACUACGUG
rnacentral:rRNA from 1 species